AUUCCUUCCUCAGCAGCUGGUGGAGCUGGGCCUGAGCAGGACUUCCCCAAAGGACUGAGAAGGAAGCCUCCACUCUGUCGUCGCUCUCUGGGACUGCUCAAGGACAAAUCUAUCUUCCUAAAGGGAUGAAAUGAUGCAAGCAAGAGUUCUUUCAUUUAAAACCCGAGCAGCAGCAGCGAUGCUGAAAAGAACAAUCACGGAAGAAUUCAUUCCUGCAGGAAUGUAAGAGCUUACAAUUUAACUGCUAU
rnacentral:lncRNA from 1 species